rnacentral:rRNA from 1 species
UACGUAGGAUCCGAGCGUUGUCCGGAAUUACUGGGUAUAAAGGGUGCGCAGGCGGGCUUGUGCGUCAAGGGUUAAAGACCUCGGCUCAACCGAGGGAGUGCCCUUGAAACGGCAAGUCUUGAGUGUGAGAGAGGAUGGUAGAAUUCCUGGUGUAGCGGUGAAAUGCGUAGAUAUCAGGAGGAAUACCAGUAGCGAAGGCGGCCAUCUGGCUCAUUACUGACGCUCAUGCACGAAAGCGUGGGGAGCAAACAGG